rnacentral:lncRNA from 1 species
CAAGAAUCCACUCUAGUUCCCCCUCUUUGCUUGAAGGGAAAGUUAUAUGUCAUAUCAAAAUGUAAUUUUGCUUGUAAAUAUGUAUUUCGGGAGAGGGUUGCCUCUUUUUCUUAUUAUCAACUGCAGCACAGAAAAGAAGUGUUAGGAAUUGCUUUUACCCCCUUUGGUAUCCGACGAAGAAAGGGAACUAGAGGGCUUAACGCAUCUGCUGCUUCUUGCUCCUGCUCUGAAAACAAUCCCUCCUUAUAUUUGCUAGUAGAGCUCAACCUUGCAUCCCACUCCAUCAUGUUGAUUCUCAUUUGGCUUCAUGAGUGCCUGAAGUUACAUUUUAGAUGCUGA